rnacentral:lncRNA from 12 species
UCCAGCCCUGCCGCGCAGGCGCUCUCCAGCCCUGCCGCAGGCUCCGCCUCCAACCCUGCCGCAGGCUCCGCCUCCAGCCCUGCUGCGCAGGCGCUCUCCAGCCCUGCCGCAGGCUCCGCCUCCAGCCCUGCCGCGCAGGCGCUCUCCAGCCGUUAUUUGGAGGACAAGUGUCCGCCUCUGCUCCCUGCUCCCAGCUCGGGGAGGUUUGCGGAGGAAGCCUGACCCCUGGAGACUUUCCUCUGGGAGAACAGAAAUCCAGAGUUGAGGGAUCCAAGCCCCUCAGGUCAGGGUGGCAAAGAUGGUGA